rnacentral:lncRNA from 1 species
CAGGUACUUGUAGAUUUCUUCACUUUCUUGUUCAACUCCCAAAUAAAUAAUCUUUUAUAACUUAGGAACUAAAUCAUCAUCUUCUGAAUCGGGAGGGAGGGAGGGAAUGUUGGACACGAGUCGGUUUCCUAUUUAUUUAGAGACUCAUAUCUCCAUUCCUAUGUCUAAGUAUGUUUAAUUCACUGUACAGCCCAAUUUUGCCUAAGGCCCAGGCUGACCCAAUAACCCACCUAAACACUAACCCAUACCAGCAGACCCAAUUACAAGGCCCAGUGGCCCAAAAUUUUAAAAUCAUUUCAGAAACCCUAAUCCCCCUAACCCUAGCCGCCUCUUCUGAUCUUUCUGCUACUGCCGCCGCCGUCACCUACCCUCUGCCACCGCCACUGCUUCGCCCACUUGCACCACCUGCUCCACCUGCAAAACAAAGGAGAACACGCAAGCAAAGAAGGACAAAACAGUAGAAAAAAAAAUAAAUUGUGUAAAAAUGACUAUAUAAAGGCCAUUCAAACGAAUUGUAAGGGGUUCCUUUUUUUACGAGAGUUUAAAAAAAAAAGCAGAUCAAAGAUUUAAAAUAAAAGGUUGAUUCAUGCGUUUCUAUUUUUCCUGUUCUUGUGUUCUUAUUUUAUUUUAUUUUUAUUUAUUUUUACUCAUUUGUAACGAAAAUAAAAAAGGGGAAAAGAGGGAAAGAAGCAUACCUGAACUGCCCGUGGCUCAGUCGACGGAGGCCCUUCCGCCGUCGUCGGAAUCGGGCCUUAAACAGGAUCUAAAGUCUCUUCAGUCCCUCGGGUUGAAGACCCAACCUUCUUGCGCUGCGAAGCCAAGGCCGAGAGGCCCAUUUCUUUCGUCGUCCGCCACUAGCCAUGGCAACGGCGCGUCGACGGUGGUGCCAUGUGACCGGCGUUUCAAAAGGGGGAGGGGAUAUCGGGUUUUUGAAAAACAGAGAGAAAAAGAAUUUUUUUUGUUUUCAAC